AACAAACGCUGGCGGCGUGCCUAAUACAUGCAAGUCGAACGGGGUAGCAAUACCUAGUGGCGCACGGGUGAGUAACGCGUGGAUAAUCUGCCUUAGAGUGGGGGAUAACUAGUCGAAAGAUUAGCUAAUACCGCAUAAGACCACAAGAACUGCGGUUCAAGGGGUCAAAGGUUUUUCGCUCUAAGAUGAGUCCGCGUAAGAUUAGCUAGUUGGUGAGGUAAUGGCUCACCAAGGCGACGAUCUUUAACUGGUCUGAGAGGAUGAUCAGUCACACUGGAACUGAGACACGGUCCAGACUCCUACGGGAGGCAGCAGUAGGGAAUAGUGCACAAUGGAGGAAACUCUGAUGCAGCGACGCCGCGUGAGUGAUGAAGGCCUUCGGGUCGUAAAGCUCUGUCGCAGGGGAAUAACGCAAUGAAUGUACCCUGUAAGAAAGGAUCGGCUAACUUCGUGCCAGCAGCCGCGGUAAUAC
rnacentral:rRNA from 1 species